rnacentral:rRNA from 1 species
CUCAGGACGAACGCUGGCGGCGUGCCUAAUACAUGCAAGUUGAGCGCUGAAGGUUGGUACUUGUACCAACUGGAUGAGCAGCGAACGGGUGAGUAACGCGUGGGGAAUCUGCCUUUGAGCGGGGGACAACAUUUGGAAACGAAUGCUAAUACCGCAUAAAAACUUUAAACACAAGUUUUAAGUUUGAAAGAUGCAAUUGCAUCACUCAAAGAUGAUCCCGCGUUGUAUUAGCUAGUUGGUGAGGUAAAGGCUCACCAAGGCGAUGAUACAUAGCCGACCUGAGAGGGUGAUCGGCCACAUUGGGACUGAGACACGGCCCAAACUCCUACGGGAGGCAGCAGUAGGGAAUCUUCGGCAAUGGACGAAAGUCUGACCGAGCAACGCCGCGUGAGUGAAGAAGGUUUUCGGAUCGUAAAACUCUGUUGGUAGAGAAGAACGUUGGUGAGAGUGGAAAGCUCAUCAAGUGACGGUAACUACCCAGAAAGGGACGGCUAACUACGUGCCAGCAGCCGCGGUAAUACGUAGGUCCCGAGCGUUGUCCGGAUUUAUUGGGCGUAAAGCGAGCGCAGGUGGUUUAUUAAGUCUGGUGUAAAAGGCAGUGGCUCAACCAUUGUAUGCAUUGGAAACUGGUAGACUUGAGUGCAGGAGAGGAGAGUGGAAUUCCAUGUGUAGCGGUGAAAUGCGUAGAUAUAUGGAGGAACACCGGUGGCGAAAGCGGCUCUCUGGCCUGUAACUGACACUGAGGCUCGAAAGCGUGGGGAGCAAACAGGAUUAGAUACCCUGGUAGUCCACGCCGUAAACGAUGAGUGCUAGAUGUAGGGAGCUAUAAGUUCUCUGUAUCGCAGCUAACGCAAUAAGCAC